rnacentral:rRNA from 1 species
UACAGAGGGUGCAAGCGUUGUUCGGAAUUAUUGGGCGUAAAGGGCGCGUAGGCGGUGCGGUAAGUCUGUAGUGAAAUCUCUGGGCUCAACUCAGAGUCUGCUGCAGAAACUGCCGUGCUUGAGUGUGGGAGAGGUGAGUGGAAUUCCCGGUGUAGCGGUGAAAUGCGUAGAGAUCGGGAGGAACACCUGUGGCGAAGGCGGCUCGCUGGGCCGGUCCUGACGCUGAGACGCGAAGGCGUGGGGAGCGAACGGG